rnacentral:rRNA from 1 species
CGGUUAUACAGACAAUGCAAUUAAAACAUCUUAUUUAAUAAUUAGUUGUGUACAUUAUUUAGUUAAAAUAUGAAUUUUAUAGGUGGAAUUUAAUUUUUAUUUAAGUUUUUUUUGUUUAAUGAUUUAUUUAAAUUUUUAAAAAACUAGGAUUAGAUACCCUAUUAUUAUAAAAAGAAUUAAGUUAUUUUAUUAGUAAAUUUUAUUUAGAUUUAAGUAAAAAAAUUUGGCGGUAUUUUAGUCUUUUCAGAGGAACCUGUUCUAUAAUUGAUAGUCCACGAUUAUUUUGACUUUAGCUUUUAGUUUGUAUAUCGUCGUCUUUAAAUAUUUUAAUUGAAUUUUAAUGUUUAUGAUUUUUUAUAAUAAAAGAUGUCAGAUCAAGAUAUAGCUUAUGCUUAAGUAGAAAUGGGUUACAUUUAUUUUAAUAUUAGGUUUUAUUAAUAGAUUAAUAAUUAAAACUGGAUUUGAAAGUAAAUUUAAAAAUAUUUUUAUAUUGAACAAGUUUUAAAAUGUGUACAUAUUGCCCGUCGCUUUCAUUUUAAUGUGAAAUAAGUCGUAACAAAGUAGGUGUACUGGAAAGUGUACCUA